rnacentral:rRNA from 1 species
CUACGGAACUCCUACGGGAGGCAGCAGUGGGGAAUUUUGGACAAUGGGCGCAAGCCUGAUCCAGCAAUGCCGCGUGCAGGAAGAAGGCCUUCGGGUUGUAAACUGCUUUUGUCAGGGAAGAAAUCCUCUGGGUUAAUACCUCGGGGGGAUGACGGUACCUGAAGAAUAAGCACCGGCUAACUACGUGCCAGCAGCCGCGGUAAUACGUAGGGUGCGAGCGUUAAUCGGAAUUACUGGGCGUAAAGCGUGCGCAGGCGGCUUUGCAAGACAGAUGUGAAAUCCCCGGGCUCAACCUGGGAACUGCAUUUGUGACUGCAAGGCUAGAGUACGGUAGAGGGGGAUGGAAUUCCGCGUGUAGCAGUGAAAUGCGUAGAUAUGCGGAGGAACACCAAUGGCGAAGGCAAUCCCCUGGACCUGUACUGACGCUCAUGCACGAAAGCGUGGGGAGCAAACAGGAUUAGAUACCCUUGUAGUCCUCUUCGA